rnacentral:rRNA from 1 species
GAUGAACGCUGGCGGCGUGCUUAACACAUGCAAGUCGAGCGAAGCACUUUUGCGGAUUUCUUCGGAUUGAAGCAAUUGUGACUGAGCGGCGGACGGGUGAGUAACGCGUGGGUAACCUGCCUCAUACAGGGGGAUAACAGUUGGAAACGGCUGCUAAUACCGCAUAAGCGCACAGUACCGCAUGGUACCGUGUGAAAAACUCCGGUGGUAUGAGAUGGACCCGCGUCUGAUUAGCUAGUUGGUGGGGUAACGGCCUACCAAGGCGACGAUCAGUAGCCGACCUGAGAGGGUGACCGGCCACAUUGGGACUGAGACACGGCCCAAACUCCUACGGGAGGCAGCAGUGGGGAAUAUUGCACAAUGGGGGAAACCCUGAUGCAGCGACGCCGCGUGAGCGAUGAAGUAUUUCGGUAUGUAAAGCUCUAUCAGCAGGGAAGAAAAUGACGGUACCUGACUAAGAAGCCCCGGCUAACUACGUGCCAGCAGCCGCGGUAAUACGUAGGGGGCAAGCGUUAUCCGGAUUUACUGGGUGUAAAGGGAGCGUAGACGGCAUGGCAAGCCAGAUGUGAAAGCCCGGGGCUCAACCCCGGGACUGCAUUUGGAACUGUCAGGCUAGAGUGUCGGAGAGGAAAGCGGAAUUCCUAGUGUAGCGGUGAAAUGCGUAGAUAUAAGGAGGAACACCAGUGGCGAAGGUGGCUUUCUGGACGAUGACUGACGUUGAGGAUCGA